AAUGGAGCUCCCUUCACUUGCAGAGCUUCCUCUCUGGCCACCCCUAGGUCGACCUGAUUUUCUUCCAUCUUGAGGCCCAGACUGUGGAGGAAUGGCUCCUCCCAAGCCCACCCCACAUUCUGACCCUAGCUCACCUGUCUCAGGUUACCACAGUGGAGCUGGCUACAGCCCUGAUGGGGUAGAGCCCAUCAGCCCCGUGAGCUCGCCCAGCCUGACCCACGACAAGGGGCUCUCCAAGCCUCUGGAAGAGCUAGAGAAGAGCCACUUGGAGGGGGAGCUGCGGCACAA
rnacentral:lncRNA from 1 species